UCCGCCUCUUUCUCUCCUUCUUGAAUCUCUAACCCUAGAAGAAUUCCUCGUGCCUCCAUUCUCGUUCUCUCCAAGCCAGCAAGCUUCCCCAUCUCCUAUCUCUAAUCCAUCCCACCGCCUCCUCCCUCCAGCCGUGCAGCCCGUGCUCCAGCCCGUCGCCUCCAGCGGUGCUCCAGCCCGUCGCCUCCAGCAGUCGCCGUCGCCCCCGCCCUCCAGCCAUCCACACCGCCUCCAUAAGAAGGUUUAACUAUAGACAAAAGAUUGACCCAAAGUUGAGCAAGAAUGUAAUUGAAACUUGGAAGUUAUUCAAGACUGAAGACUUGCAGUGAAAUCCCAAUUAGUUGUUGAAACUUAGAAGUUGGAAGCAUUGAAUGAAUAUUAGGGAUUUAACUUGUUAUAGUUUGUUGAGGAUUUAUUAGAUAUCAUGAAAAUGCUUUUAUGAUUUUCUUGUUUUUUUUUGUUUUUUUGGUUUUUUUGAAUUCUCUUAAAAUUUCAGUUUUUCGUUUUUUUUAAAA